UGGCUCUCGCAUCGAUGAAGAACGCAGCGAAAUGCGAUAAGUAAUGUGAAUUGCAGAAUUCAGUGAAUCAUCGAAUCUUUGAACGCACCUUGCGCUCCUUGGUAUUCCGAGGAGCAUGCCUGUUUGAGUGUCAUUAAAUUCUCAACCUCACCAGUUUUCUGAACUGACUGAGGCUUGGAUGUGGGGGUUUGUGCAGGCUGCCUCACGGCGGUCUGCUCCCCUGAAAUGCAUUAGCGAGGUUCAUGCUGGACCUCCGUCUAUUGGUGUGAUAAUUAUCUACGCCGUGGACGAGGAUACAGACUCGCUUCUAAUCGUCCGCGAGGACAAUACCUUGACAAUUUGACCUCAAAUCAGGUAGGACUACCCGCUGA
rnacentral:misc_RNA from 1 species